GGGAAGGUGGCUCAAUGGUAGAGUGCUUGCCUUGCAUGCAUGAGGUCCUGGGUUCCAUUCCU
rnacentral:tRNA from 1 species